CCUACGGGUGGCAGCAGUGAGGAAUAUUGGUCAAUGGGCGCGAGCCUGAACCAGCCAAGUAGCGUGAAGGAUGACUGCCCUACGGGUUGUAAACUUCUUUUAUAAAGGAAUAAAGUGAGGCACGUGUGCCUUUUUGUAUGUACUUUAUGAAUAAGGAUCGGCUAACUCCGUGCCAGCAGCCGCGGUAAUACGGAGGAUCCGAGCGUUAUCCGGAUUUAUUGGGUUUAAAGGGAGCGUAGAUGGGUUGUUAAGUCAGUUGUGAAAGUUUGCGGCUCAACCGUAAAACUGCAAUUGAUACUGGCAGCCUUGAGUGCAGUUGAGGUAGGCGGAAUUCGUGGUGUAGCGGUGAAAUGCUUAGAUAUCAGGAGGAACUCCAGUGGCGAAGGCAGCUUACUAGACUGCCACUGACAUUGAGGCUCGAAAGUGUGGGUAUCAAACAGGAUUAGAUACCCGUGUAGUC
rnacentral:rRNA from 1 species